GUAGUUCCAGUUGACUAUCAAAUAAAAUGUACACAGAAUAAAUAUGCUGGUUUCUUCUUUCGAUACAAAUCUGGGAUUUAUUUCUACAUUGUAUCCUGCUUCAUUGACUCGCUUAUGAAAAAACUUUUCUACAUGCAGAUGAAAUGUUUACAGAUAAUGAAUAUGGAAAUAAACUAACACAAGAUGAUCACAAUAAGAGAGAAGGAGAAGACAUUCCACGACCGAUGAUGAGAUAUAGAUAAAGCAAUUCAUCAAUUAUUUGAUAGCCUCCAAAAAUAUGGUUUUAAGUUGUGGAAGUUUCUGUUAAAAAAGUGCAUAUUUGUAGAUAGUAAUUACUUUGAGCAUACGUGAAACGAUUUGCCUAAAAUGACUUCUUGCACCUCAAAAUAUAUACGAGGGUUGCUUCUUAAGUUUUGAGAUAUGGCAACACUGAUGUUAAUAUGUCAAAUCUGACAUUGCCAUCAUGAAAUUUGACAUUUUUUAAUGAGUUGUCAUUAAGGGCUAUUAGAUUUGUUUACUUGAUACUUGAAACAUUCAUCUUGGUCAAAAGAUGGAAUUAAAACAUUUUCGUGCGAUGAUUUUCUAUUACUUUCGCGUGGAAUAAAACAACUGCAGUGUGCCGAUCAACUCAACUUUUGGUGAUAAAGCACCAUCUCGAGUCAACGUGUUUCACUCGCAUACCGUGGGAUAUCGUGGACAUACCGUAGGAUUGAAUCAUACUUGGGCAUUAGUUCCAAUCGCAUACAUUUAAUAUUGGAUGAACAUUUGGCUGUCAAAAAUAUUUGUUCGUGUUAGAGCUGGUGUCGAUUAGUGCAAAGAAAUGCUGAAAAAAUUCAAUCACGGUACUUCAAAAAAUGUCUAAAGGAUAAUGACGAAACAUGGAUUUUUGCAUAUGAAUCCGAAAACACAACAAUUGACUGUAUGGGUCUUCCACGAUGAACCAAAUCCAACAAAAUUUGUUCGCGCACGAAGCACUUCGAAGCAAAUGGUCGCCUGUUAUUUCGGAAUUCCUAGAAAUAUCACCGUUCUAUUAGAGAAACGUACACUAGCAUGUGCUAGAAAUGUUCAAAAAAAUCAGGGAAACCAAUCGCAGAAGACGAAUCAUUCUUCACCAAGGCAAUGCGAGCUUUCACGCAUCAAUUCAGACCAUAACGUUUUUGAACAGUCAAAACAUCAAAUUUAUGGGUCAUCCGCCGUACAGUCCUUGCUUGCCACCAAAUAAUUUCUUCUUAUUCCCGCAGAUCAAACUUGAAUUGCUAGGUCAACGUUUUUCUACACCUGAAGAAGCGAUCAAAUCACAUGUUUUGGAGGUACUUCAAUCGGAAUGGAAACAUUUUCAAAUAUCUGUUUAUAUUUGUCUAUUUCAAAACGUAAGUAGCAACCCUCGUAGUCUGUAUAUAUCGAAUUAUGCAGUUUUGACAGUUAUAACUGAAUAAUUACCCAACAAAAGAAAUGAAACAACAGAAGACAUCAAAAAUGUAGUUGAUAAAUAUACAGAUAUAGAUUUGUCAAGUUCAGCAUAAAAUUCGUUUAUUUUGAAACACAAUUAGCAAAUAGUAGAAAAUCGUUGAAUUUAAAUGAAAUAAAAAAAAUUUCCCCAAACUGUACAAAAUAAUUUCAAAACGUCCCAUAUUUAUCAUCAUAACGUAAUCCUUACUAAAUAGAUGUUAAACACAAAUAUCGACUUUUUUAUCAUUUUUAACAAAAAUUCGUCUGUUAGCGCAAUAACCAUUUUAUUAACGGAUAAUUUUGAUUUUACCGUUCACUGUAUAUUUUAUAGAAAUUACUUAUAUUAAAACUUAAAUCAAACUA